AACCGGGGCUAAUACCGGAUGCUUGUUUGAACCGCAUGGUUCAAACAUAAAAGGUGGCUUUUCGCUACCACUUACAGAUGGACCCGCGGCGCAUUAGCUAGUUGGUGGGGUAACGGCUCACCAAGGCAACGAUGCGUAGCCGACCUGAGAGGGUGAUCGGCCACACUGGGACUGAGACACGGCCCAGACUCCUACGGGAGGCAGCAGUAGGGAAUCUUCCGCAAUGGACGAAAGUCUGACGGAGCAACGCCGCGU
rnacentral:rRNA from 1 species